rnacentral:rRNA from 1 species
AUAGCGUAUAUUAAAGUUGUUGCGGUUAAAAAGCUCGUAGUUGAAUCUGUGUCGCACGCUGUCGGUUCGCCGCUCGCGGUGUUUAACUGACAUGCUCGUGAGACGUCCUACCGGUGGGCUUAGCUCUUCGGAGCGGUCCAACUAAUAUCCCAUCGCGGUGCUCUUAAUUGAGUGUCGAGGUGGGCCGGUACGUUUACUUUGAACAAAUUAGAGUGCUUAAAGCAGGCUACCUUUGCCUGAAUACUGUGUGCAUGGAAUAAUGGAAUAGGACCUCGGUUCUAUUUUGUUGGUUUUCGGAAAUCCGAGGUAAUGAUUAAUAGGGACAGAUGGGGGCAUUCGUAUUGCGACGUUAGAGGUGAAAUUCUUGGAUCGUCGCAAGACGGACAGAAGCGAAAGCAUUUGCCAAAAAUGUUUUCAUUAAUCAAGAACGAAAGUUAGAGGUUCGAAGGCGAUCAGAUACCGCCCUAGUUCUAACCAUAAACGAUGCCAGCUAGCGAUCCGCCGAAGUUCCUCCGAUGACUCGGCGGGCAGCUUCCGGGAAACCAAAGCUUUUGGGUUCCGGGGGAAGUAUGGUUGCAAAGCUGAAACUUAAAGGAAUUGACGGAAGGGCACCACCAGGAGUGGAGCCUGCGGCUUAAUUUGACUCAACACGGGAAACCUCACCAGGCCCGGACACCGGAAGGAUUGACAGAUUGAGAGCUCUUUCUUGAUUCGGUGGGUGGUGGUGCAUGGCCGUUCUUAGUUGGUGGAGCGAUUUGUCUGGUUAAUUCCGAUAACGAACGAGACUCUAGCCUGCUAAAUAGGCGUAYMUUCUGGUAUCUUGAAGGCYCSCGRYUUCGGYCGKYGGGUUUUUACUACCAACGUACAAAUAAAUCUUCUUAGAGGGAC